AUUGAACGCUGGCGGCAGGCCUAACACAUGCAAGUCGAGCGGAUGAAGGGAGCUUGCUCCUGGAUUCAGCGGCGGACGGGUGAGUAAUGCCUAGGAAUCUGCCUGGUAGUGGGGGAUAACGUCCGGAAACGGGCGCUAAUACCGCAUACGUCCUGAGGGAGAAAGUGGGGGAUCUUCGGACCUCACGCUAUCAGAUGAGCCUAGGUCGGAUUAGCUAGUUGGUGGGGUAAAGGCCUACCAAGGCGACGAUCCGUAACUGGUCUGAGAGGAUGAUCAGACACACUGGAACUGAGACACGGUCCAGACUCCUACGGGAGGCCGCAGUGGGGAAUAUUGGACGAUGGGCGAAAGCCUGAUCCAGCCAUGCCGCGUGUGUGAAGAAGGUCUUCGGAUUGUAAAGCACUUUAAGUUGGGAGGAAGGGCAGUAAGUUAAUACCUUGCUGUUUUGACGUUACCAACAGAAUAAGCACCGGCUAACUUCGUG
rnacentral:rRNA from 1 species